rnacentral:rRNA from 1 species
AGAAUCAACGCUGGCGGCGUGCCUAACACAUGCAAGUCGCACGAGAAAGGGACGUUCGGUCCUGAGUACAGUGGCGCACGGGUGAGUAACACGUGAAUAAUCUACCUCCGAGUGGGGAGUAACUGAGAGAAAUCUUAGCUAAUACCGCAUAACACUUACGAGUCAAAGCAGCAAUGCGCUUGGAGAGGAGUUCGCGGCAGAUUAGUUAGUUGGCGGGGUAAUGGCCCACCAAGACGAUGAUCUGUA